AUUGAACGCUGGCGGCAGGCCUAACACAUGCAAGUCGAACGAGUGGCGGACGGGUUAGUAAUGUCUGGGCAACUGCCUGAUGGAGGGGGAUAACUACUGGAAACGGUAGCUAAUACCGCAUCCCAUCGGAUGUGCCCAGAUGGGAUUAGCUAGUCGGUGGGGUAAAAGCUCACCUAGGCGACGAUCCCUAGCUGGUCUGCGAGGAUGACCAGCCACACUGGAACGGAGACACGGUCCAGACUCCUACGGGAGGCAGCAGUGGGGAAUAUUGCACAAUGGGCGCAAGCAUGAUGCAGCCAUGCCGAGUGUAUGAAGAAGGCGUUCGGGUUGUAAAGGACUUUCAGCGGGGAGGCGUUACCCGCAGAAGAAGCACCGGCUAACUCCGUGCCAGCAGCCGCGGUAAUAC
rnacentral:rRNA from 1 species